rnacentral:rRNA from 1 species
CCUACGGGAGGCAGCAGUGGGGGAUAUUGCACAAUGGGGGAAACCCUGAUGCAGCGACGCCGCGUGUGGGAAGACGGUCCUCUGGAUUGUAAACCACUUUCCCCAGGGACGAAGAUGACGGUACCUGGGGAGUAAGCUCCGGCUAACUACGUGCCAGCAGCCGCGGUAAUACGUAGGGAGCGAGCGUUGUCCGGAUUUAUUGGGUGUAAAGGGCGUGUAGGCGGGUGCGCAAGUCAGAUGUGAAAACUCAGGGCUCAACCCGGAGCCUGUAUUUGAAACUGUGUUUCUUGAGUGCUGGAGAGGCAAGCGGAAUUCGGGGUGUAGCGGUGAAAUGCGUAGAUAUAAGGAGGAACACCAGUGGCGAAGGCGGAUUGCUGGACAGUAACUGACGCUGAGGCGCGAAAGCGUGGGGAGCAAACAGGAUUAGAUACCCCAGUAGUC